rnacentral:rRNA from 1 species
CUGAGGCCGACAGGCGUAGGCGAUGGAUAACAGGUUGAUAUUCCUGUACCACCUAUAAUCGUUUUAAUCGAUGGGGGGACGCAGUAGGAUAGGCGAAGCGUGCGAUUGGAUUGCACGUCUAAGCAGUAAGGCUGAGUAUUAGGCAAAUCCGGUACUCGUUAAGGCUGAGCUGUGAUGGGGAGAAGACAUUGAGUCUUCGAGUCGUUGAUUUCACACUGCCGAGAAAAGCCUCUAGAUAGAAAAUAGGUGCCCGUACCGCAAACCGACACAGGUAGUCAAGAUGAGAAUUCUAAGGUGAGCGAGCGAACUCUCGUUAAGGAACUCGGCAAAAUGACCCCGUAACUUCGGGAGAAGGGGUGCUCUUUAGGGUUAACGCCCAGAAGAGCCGCAGUGAAUAGGCCCAAGCGACUGUUUAUCAAAAACACAGGUCUCUGCUAAACCGUAAGGUGAUGUAUAGGGGCUGACGCCUGCCCGGUGCUGGAAGGUUAAGAGGAGUGGUUAGCUUCUGCGAAGCUACGAAUCGAAGCCCCAGUAAACGGCGGCCGUAACUAUAACGGUCCUAAGGUAGCGAAAUUCCUUGUCGGGUAAGUUCCGACCCGCACGAAAGGCGUAACGAUUUGGGCACUGUCUCAACGAGAGACUCGGUGAAAUCAUAGUACCUGUGAAGAUGCAGGUUACCCGCGACAGGACGGAAAGACCCCGUGGAGCUUUACUGUAGCCUGAUAUUGAAAUUCGGCACAGCUUGUACAGGAUAGGUAGGAGCCUUUGAAACGUGAGCGCUAGCUUACGUGGAGGCGCUGGUGGGAUACUACCCUAGCUGUGUUGGCUUUCUAACCCGCACCACUUAUCGUGGUGGGAGACAGUGUCAGGCGGGCAGUUUGACUGGGGCGGUCGCCUCCUAAAAGGUAACGGAGGCGCUCAAAGGUUCCCUCAGAAUGGUUGGAAAUCAUUCAUAGAGUGUAAAGGCAUAAGGGAGCUUGACUGCGAGACCUACAAGUCGAGCAGGGUCGAAAGACGGACUUAGUGAUCCGGUGGUUCCGCAUGGAAGGGCCAUCGCUCAACGGAUAAAAGCUACCCCGGGGAUAACAGGCUUAUCUCCCCCAAGAGUUCACAUCGACGGGGAGGUUUGGCACCUCGAUGUCGGCUCAUCGCAUCCUGGGGCUGUAGUCGGUCCCAAGGGUUGGGCUGUUCGCCCAUUAAAGCGGUACGCGAGCUGGGUUCAGAACGUCGUGAGACAGUUCGGUCCCUAUCCGUCGUGGGCGUAGGAAAUUUGAGAGGAGCUGUCCUUAGUACGAGAGGACCGGGAUGGACAUACCUCUGGUGUACCAGUUGUCGUGCCAACGGCAUAGCUGGGUAGCUAUGUGUGGACGGGAUAAGUGCUGAAAGCAUCUAAGCAUGAAGCCCCCCUCAAGAUGAGAUUUCCCAACUUCGGUUAUAAGAUCCCUCAAAGAUGAUGAGGUUAAUAGGUUCGAGGUGGAAGCAUGGUGACAUGUGGAGCUGACGAAUACUAAUCGAUCGAAGACUUAAUCAAAA